rnacentral:rRNA from 1 species
UACGAAGGGGGCUAGCGUUGCUCGGAAUCACUGGGCGUAAAGGGCGCGUAGGCGGCCGUUCAAGUCGGGGGUGAAAGCCUGUGGCUCAACCACAGAAUGGCCCUCGAUACUGGAUGGCUCGAGACCGGAAGAGGUUGGUGGAACUGCGAGUGUAGAGGUGAAAUUCGUAGAUAUUCGCAAGAACACCAGUGGCGAAGGCGGCCAACUGGACGGAUACUGACGCUGAGACGCGAAAGCGUGGGGAGCAAACAGG